CCCUUCUCCAGCUCGCCCUUCUCGAAUCGAUACAAGACCGAACUGCCGCUGCCACACUCGCUGUCGAUCCCGUGGCCACCGGCCGUCCCUCGUCGCUGCACCAUGACCAGGAGCCGCACAUCGUCGCCUUCUUCAUUGACACAACAGGAAUCGGGCGGAACCGCCUUGAAGUCGUCGCCCCGGUUGCGUCUUCAUCGCCUCGGCCGCCGCAUGAUGUCGCCAUCGAUUCACCGCACCUCGACCACCUCCGGCUGCCCCGAGCUGUUCCUCGUCACGGAUGUGAGCACGGCGUGUUUUCCCCUCUGUUCCCGCCUUUAAUCUUGUCCCGUAGCACCGAAUCCCCACGAGCCCCAAUCUCCCGUGUAUGUGAGCGUAUUGCUUCUGUUGCCGCUUGCUUCUGUCGCGCCUCCGUUACCCGCUGUAGCUACCUUUGGUUGCCGCUGCCCUUGCCCACGCUCGAACGCCUGUGGCGCCCUCUCCCGCUUGCUCCCGCCGCUCUGCUACUAGUGCUGCUGCUGCUUCGGCGGCCUAAUGCACCGCUGCUCCUCUUAGCUGCUGCUGGUGCUUGCUGCUUGGUCGCUGGUUGCUGCUUGGCUUGCUGUUGUGCGUGCUUGCUACGACACUGCUUUGAUUGCUGCUUUGGUGUGUUGAUGCGUGCUUUCUACUGCUGCUCAUACUCUCCUGCUACAGCAAACUGCCGCUUGCUGCUGCUAUUGGCCAUGGCUACAGCAAUGGCUGAGUGUGUGUGUGCGUGAGUGUGUGUUCUGUGUGUGUGGCCGGCCCAGUUACUAGUUUAGGGACUAAUUUAGUUAGUUAGUCUGAUUACUAGUACUAGUUAAUUAGUCCAAUAGUAGAUGACAUGUGGACCCACUUUUAGUUUAAAGAAAAACAAAUUUUAAGAAAAGUCUAAGUCAAUGACAUGUAGGCCCAGUUGAACUGUUCACCUUUGACCAGUCAACUGUUGACUCCUGAGUCAAUAGUUGACCUGGCCCCACUAGUCAUGCACACUGGCUAGGUACUGCUGUGUACAAAAUGUAAUUGCUGUAUUAAGUUGAAUUUAUAAUAAUUUCAGAAAUUGCUUUAAACUUUAAUAAAUCAUAUAAAAUAAACCAUAGCUUGGAUGAAAAAGUUUUCUACAUGAAAGUUGCUCAGAACGACGAUACGAAUCCGAACUCGCGGUCCGUUCGCCCUCCACACAUCCCUAGUAUAGCAAACAUUGAACUUUUCCCCUCCGGUUCAUCUGUCUGACAGACGUCCGAAAACGGAAAAACUUUCCCGGAUGUUUUCCCCCUUCACCAGUAUCACCUAGCACCGCGUUUGAACACCUCUAGCUUCGCUUAUUGUCUUGUUAUGCUUAUGUUUGUGUGUAUUUACUAUUUCCUCCCCCUCUUCUCUCCGCUAGACCCCGAGACUACUGCUGAUGCCCCUGUGAUCGACUACGUCGACGACGACCCUCCUUCUUGUCUGAGCAACCAGGCAAGCCCCCCCUUUGAUCAUCCCGAUAUCGCCCAUUCUAUACUCUCAUGCUUGCAUUAGAUUCUUGCUACUGUUUUUGUUUGCUCCUAUUCUGAUGCAUAGCCUGCUUUUGUACCUGCUAUUGUUACCUACCUGUUUAUCCUAAACUGCUUAGUAUAGGUUGGCUAGUGAUCCAUCAGUGACCCCCACUUGUCCUUGUUGCCCCUGCUUCAUCAUCGACGCCUCGAUCGACAUGAUCGACGACCAGAGCCCGACACCUCACCUCACAUCACGCCCCUUUAGUUGCUCGACUCUGCAGAGCUACUAUCGAGUGCCGAGGGUGAUCCCUCAUAACGCACUCCUGAUGAUAAUUCUGUAGUGUAGCUAUUUCGGUCGUGGUCAUCGAGGGUGAUUUCCUCUUUCACCAUUCCCGAUACGGCUCUGUCGUUCAACACCUCAAGUGUGAACCUUGAGGGUGGUCCCUCUUACGUUCACCUUGAUGAUUACAUUGAGUGGAAUCCACCGGGGGUCAUUCCUCGGGUUUUCCCCUUGAUGUUUGGACACACGGUUACACUGACUUUACUUGAGACCUUGGUGAAAGUCGGGCGGGCCCGGAGAGCACCCGCAAGAUGGUUAUGUGGCACGGCCGGGCAUUCUAGGCCCUUGUCGUAAGUCCACAAGACGGGGCGACGGGGUCACUUUCGAUCAUGAGUCUCUGCUCAUCUCCGCAAGCUAACAAUACACUAUGGUUUGGGUAUUUGUUCUGAGUUGGCCUCUGGCCUUUACGCACUAACCACCACGCGAGAAUAGAUAUGGGCCUCGACGUCGCAGUAUCAGCCGAAGCUUUAUCAGACAUCCAAUUCAGCAUUGUGGGCCUGUCGGGCCAGUGCCAUCCAGUAUGAGGUGGUGCUCAUCCCGGCUCGUCGCACAACGACCCGGAGUGCAACGGGCGAUGGGCCUAGACCCCGGAGUGCUUAGGAGGUAGACCGGCGGGGACCUCUCUGCUGAGCCUAGGUCGGGCUGCGAUGUGUUGAUCUUCCGAGGGCGGGCAUUGACCCCAGAAAGGUGUGUCCGGCCAGAGUGAUCGAGCGUGUUGGGUAACGUGGUGCACCACUGCAGGGAAGUUAUAUAUUCGAAUACCGUGUCCACGGUAAUGGACGUUCAGACUUAUAUCCUGAUCUUAUACAACUACAAAUGGAUACUUGAGAUAUGUGGCUCCGGGAUUGCUUUCUCGCAGGGAGUCGAGGAAGGAUCGCUGGGCAUUAAUGUACAACAUGCUUGUUAAUUAUAAACUGCUAUUCUUUACUCUACUGCAUGCUGCAACAUGCUCGGAGCUGCGUGAAGAUGCUAGUCUUCGAUAGGCUAGGCUUUCCCCCUCUAUUCUGGCAUUCUGCAGUUCAGUCCACAGAUACAACCCUUCCAUUUGAUACAAAUGCAUACUUAGUAUAGAUCUGAUGCUUGCGAGUACUUUGGAUGAGUACUCACGGUUGCUUUGCUACCCCUUUUCCCCCUUCUUUCUUCUUUUCGGUUGAUGCAACCACAUGGUGGAUCCUUGGAGCCAGAUGCCACCGCCGACGGAUACUACUACAUGGAGGCCGCCGAAGACCAGGAGUAGUUAGGAGGUCCCAGGCAGGAGGCCUUGCCUUUUCGAUCUUGUUGCUUUUGUGCUAGCCUUCUUAAGGCAAAACUUGUUUAACUUAUGUCUGUACUCAGAUAUUGUUGCUUCCGCUGACUCUUGUGUAUCGAGCUUGUAUUCGAGCCCUCGAGGCCCCUGGCUUGUAAUAUAAAGCUUGUAUUAUUUUAUUUGUGUCUAGAGUUGUGUUGUGAUAUCUUCCCGUGAGUCCCUGAUCUUGAUCGUAUACAUUUGCGUGUAUGAUUAGUGUACGAUUGAAUCGGGGGCGUCACAAGUUGGUAUCAGAGCCGACUUCCUGUAGGAUCCCCUUUCCAACUCCUUGGCCGAAGUUGAGUCUAGUUUUGAAAAACAAUUUUACUAACAUGGCUGUGUGGCUUACGGGCCCACGUCGCCAAUUGGGUGGUAUUAAGAUCUUUUAUUCCUUGUCUAUACUCUGGGAAUCUGAUCUCUCUUCUAUUCGGGUUAAAUGGUUUUGCAAACUAUAACUCUAGGAUCUCGUAAAUACUUCUCCCGGAGAGCCCCUUCAUUCUAGAUGAUGGCCCGCUUCACCAGAAGAUUCUGAAGAUACUCUUUGAUGCUUUCUCGAGACCCUUGUGCCCUUCACCAUUGCAAUUCCUACCACCGAUAAAUCCUUAUGCGUAACUACCUACGUUGUCGUUCAUGCCUUCAUCCCCAUUUGCUCUUGUUAUUACAAGAUGUCCUGAAAUACUCUUCGAUGUUUAGAGGAUCCUUCAUGCUUACUGCCCUGCAGUUCUUGCCGCAUGAAUACCCCUUCGGAUAAUUACUCGCUCUUACCGAGUAUCCAUUCACCCCAGUUAUUCUUAUGCUUCAUAAGAUACUUGGUAAUACAAUCCGAGCUUUCGAUGACCUCUGUCUACUAUUGCUCUAGAAAGUCUUACUUGCCUACACUCUGGUUAAUUCCAUAUGCCUAGCAGUAUCCAUUGACGUCCUUUGUCAUUAUCAUCUUGAGUCUUUCGAUUUGAUAUGUCUAUGUUGCAAUCAUUAGUUGAUCCUUAUAGAUUAUCUUUCUGGCUCAGACGUCUUCCCGAACAUGAGCUGUUUCUUGGCCAAUCAUAUUGCCAUUGGUUGUGCCCAAGUCUAUUCAACUUAUCCAUUCUUGAUCAGCGUGUUUGCUUCAGAUCCCUUGAUUUGGGAAUCAUAAUUCAUUUUGCAAUUGAACUCUGAAUUAGUCAGUUGCUUCUAUAAUCUGACCUCCUUGCAUUCUUCCUUCUUCUGGUUGAGUACUGCUGCUCUCGUCAGAUCCCUCGUGGACCACCAGAUCCUUGGUGUAUUUUAUCUGACAACAUCCUUCAUAUUCGGUAACCUUGUGAGCCUUUCCUCGGAUGCAUAAUACCUUUCGUAAAUUGUAUCCCCGCUCUUGUCAACCAUACUCUGCUUUCGGGCUUGAGUUAUUUACUCGUGAAGUUUGUGAUAUAUGUCCUAAGAUGUCCCUAUGGGUUGAAUCUAUGGCUUCCCUAAUCUGUGUGAACCCGAAGAUUAUGCAACUUAUAUCUACUGACGUUUCUUUGGAUUUUUUAAUUCUACAACUUCAUCGAAAUCAAGAAGUGAAUGGAAAGAUGUGCAUUAGAGAAGUGGGAGUCGACCUUGAACCUUUGUGUUCAUGCCCAUGGACCCGAUGUGGAACUUAUCAUGGAAGCUUCUUGUGAUAAUGAUAAUUCCCUUGUGAUAAGUUCAUCUUGUAUCUAUAUUUGGUCCUUUGCAACCGUGGUUCCGACCCUAUAGUUCUUCUUUGAUCCCAUUUCUCACACAAGUUGAAGUACUUGUCCUCUGUAGAUCUUUUCACCUGUCCAACCUCUAUCAUGUUCUACCUUCGAGUUUUACACUAUGUUAUCUCGAGCAUAUCACGGAACUACAUAAAUUCUUAUGAGUUCUUCAUUAACUACUAUUUCUCACUGAUUCUAGUUUUCCGUGGAUUUUGAGUUGUUAGACACUCGAGAACACCAGUACCUGAUCCGAGUCUACACUUUUCUCUCCAUUGUUUUGUUUAACCUUUCUUGUAACCAACAUAUCCGAGCAGUGGUAUUUCCCUGCUUAUGUAAAUACCUCGAUGUACAAACUCUGUCAGUAAGACCUUGUUACUAUUGUUGGUGACAUUCCGGUAACCACCGAUGGAUAAGAACUUUGCCUAUUGGUCCACCUCGUCUUAAUGGGCAGGGAAAUGGUUCUCUUCGUCCCUCGCCCUUGGUACCAACGUUGUUACCAACAUAAUUGACGGUCUAUCCUCUGACCUGCCUUGCUAUCAUGAUCGUGCAAAUGAUAGGAUCCGUCCCGCUUUCAACCCACAUGGUGGGCCCAUAACCCACAGUUCCACAGGAUCGAAACCUGACUCUCCUAUACAUCUCUGUCUUCCAAAAUUAUUCCCCACGCUUGGUUUCGUAUGUAAUUCGCGAGCCACCUUCUUGUGAUCUGUUCUGGUAUCAGAUGCAAUACUUAUUCUCGAUGCUUGAACCCCUUUCACCCUCUCUUUCAGGCAAUGAACGAUUGCCUACCCGGUUAAAACUUCUUAUUGCACCCUCUUACCUUUCCCUCGGUGACUUUCUUGAAUUUCAACUCGCGAGAUGCCUCUAUGCCAUGUUCACCGAGAUAGCCCCAGGUACCUAUCUUGUGUUGAGCUUCGUCCUUUCCGAGUCUUUUCCCUUACUCCACCCCUUAAAUCUCGGGACGAGAUUUCUUGUAGUGGAGGAGAAUUGUGACGCCCGGAUAAUUAAGCUACAGUAAUUCCCUGCCGUUGAUGCCACGUCAUCACGAUUAUUGUUGAUAAACUCACGUCGAUUCAAACCCCGUUCAAUUUCAAAAUUAAAAUCAGGUCAAACUUUAAAAGUUUUCAAAUGUCAAAACUUAAAUGUUCACCAUAUCCUAUAAAUUCACCUGAUGAUUGUCAUGUUGAAACCAACCUCUUUUUAAUACCAAAUUGCACCUGGAAUUUUAUUUGGUGGUCCAACCACAAUUAAAUUGGCCUUAUCAAUUUCUAAAAAUGGUUAGGCAACUCCUUUUGACCCCAAACUUUUUGUGCCAUCUCAAGGUAUUGUGUGAAAAUUAUGUGCCAAGUUUUUUGUUAAAACAAAAGUCUUUUGUGCUCCAGUUAAAUGCAAAUCCGUAACUAUUGAAAGUAUAGAAAAGCAUAAUCGGAAACACUAAGACUUCCUGCUGGACUGGGCCCCUAGUGGCUGCAGUGCGGCCCAGCCCAGCCUAGCCGGCCUUUCCUGUAGCUCUGGACAGUGGAGACCGAGGCCAUGGCGCCAGGCACGCGCGUGCGCCGUCCACGCGCCCGAUCUCCUCGUGUCGUUCAUCCGUCGAUGCCCCGAGACGCAUAAGACCCUCCCCGACGGCCUGGUCGAACCCUAGCUUGCCCAUUCCCCUUCUCCAGCUCGCCCUUCUCGAAUCGAUACAAGACCGAACUGUCGCUGCCACACUCGUUGUCGAUCCUGUGGCCACCGGCCGUCCCUCGUCGCUGCACCAUGACCAGGAGCCGCACAUCGUCGCCUUCUUCAUCGACACAGCAGGAAUCGGGCGGAACCGCCUUGAAGUCAUCGCCCCGGUUGUGUCUUCAUCGCCUCGGCCGCCGCACGAUGUCGCCAUCGAUUCGCCGCGCCUCGACCACCUCCGGCUGCCCCGAGCUGUUCCUCGUCAUGGAUGUGAGCACGGCGUGUUUUCCCCUCUGUUCCCGCCUUUAAUCUUGUCCUGUAGCACCGAAUCCCCACGAGCCCCGAUCUCCCGCGUAUGUGAGCGUAUUGCUUCUGUUGCCGCUUGCUUCUGCCGCGCCUUCGUUGCCCGCUAUAGCUACCUCCGGUUGCCGCUGCCCUUGCCCACGCUCGAACGCCUGUGGCGCCCUCUCCCGCUUGCUCCCGCCGCUCUGCUACUAGUGCUGCUGCUGCUUCUGCUUCCGUGGGGGCCUAAUGCGUCGCUGCUCCUCUUAGCUGCUGCUGCUGCUCGCUGCUUGAUCGCUGGUUGCUGCUUGGCUUGCUGUUAUGCGUGCUUGCUACGGCACUGCUUUGCUUGCUACUUUGGUGCGUUGAGGCGUGUUUUCUACUUCUGCUCAUACUCUCCUGCUACCGCAAACUGCCGCUUGCUGCUGCUAUUGGCCUUGGCUACAUCAAUGCCUGAGUGUGUGUGUGCGUGAGUGUGUGUUCUGUGUGUGUGGCCGGCCCAAUUACUAGUUUAGGGACUAAUUUAGUUAGUUAGUCUGAUUACUAGUACUAGUUAAUUAGUCCAAUAGUAGAUGACAUGUGGACCCACUUUUAGUUUAAAGAAAAACAAAUUUUAAGAAAAGUCUAAGUCAAUGACAUGUAGGCCCAGUUGAACUGUUCACCUUUGACCAGUCAACUGUUGACUCCUGAGUCAAUAGUUGACCUGGCCCCACUAGUCAUGCACACUGGCUAGGUACUGCUGUGUACAAAAUGUAAUUGCUGUAUUAAGUCGAAUUUAUAAUAAUUUCAGAAAUUUCUUUAAACUUUAAUAAAUCAUAUAAAAUAGACCAUAGCUCGGAUGAAAAUGUUUUCUACAUGAAAGUUGCUCAGAACGACGAGACAAAUCCGAACAUGCGGUCUGUUCGCCCGCCACACAUCCCUAGGAUAGCAAACAUUGAACUUUUCCCCUCAGGUUCAUCUGUCUGACAGACGUCCGGAACCGGGAAAACUUUCCCGAAUGGUUUCCCCCUUCACCAGUAUCACCUAGCACGGCGUUCGAACACCUCUAGCCCCGCUUAUUGUCUUGUUAUGCUUAUGUUUGUGUGUAUUUACUAUUUCUUCCCCCUCUUCUCCCUGCUAGACCUCGAGACUGCUGCUGAUGCCCCUGUGAUCGACUACAUCGACGACGACCCUCCUUCUUGUCUGAGCAACCAGGCAAGCCCCCCCUUUGAUCAUCCCGAUAUCGCCCAUUUUAUACUCGCAUGCUUGCAUUAGAUUUUUGCUACUGUUUUUGUUUGCUCCUAUUCUGAUGCAUAGCCUGCUUUUGUACCUGCUAUUGUUACCUACCUGUUUAUCCUAAACUGCUUAGUAUAGGUUGGCUAGUGAUCCAUCAGUGACCCCCACUUGUCCUUGUUGCCCCUGCUUCAUCAUCGACGCCUCGGUCGACGUGAUCGACGACCACAGCCCGACACCUCACCUCACAUCACGCCGCUUUAGUUGCUCGACUUUGCAGAGCUACUAUCGAGUGCCGAGGGUGAUCCCUCAUAACGCACUCCUGAUGAUAAUUCUGUAGUGUAGCUAUUUCGGUCGUGGUCAUCGAGGGUGAUUUCCUCUUUCACCAUUCCCGAUACGGCUCUGUCGUUCAACACCUCAAGUGUGAACCUCGAGGGUGGUCCCUCUUACGUUCACCUUGAUGAUUACAUUGAGUGGAAUCCACUGGGGGUGAUUCCUCGGGUUUUCCCCUUGAUGUUUGAACACACGGUUACACUAACUUUACUUGAGACCUUGGUGAAAGUCGGGCGGGCCCGGAGAGCACCCGCAAGAUGGUUACGUGGCACUGCCGGGCAUUCUAUGCCCUUGUCAUAAGUCCACAAGACAGGGCGACGGGGUCUCUUUCGAUCGUGAGUCUCUACUCGUCUCCGCAAGCUAAUAAUACACUGUGGUUUGGGUAUUUGUUCUGAGUUGGCCUCUGGCCUUUACGCACAAACCACCACGCGAGAAUAGAUAUGGGCCUCGACGUCGCAGUAUCAGCUGAAGCUUUGUCAGACGUCUAGUUAAGCAUUGUGGGCCUAUCGGGCCAGUGCCAUCCAGUAUGAGGUGGUGCUCGUCCAGGCUCGUCGCACAAUGACCCGGAGUGAAACGGGCGAUGGGCCCAGACCCCAGAGUGCUUAGGAGGUAGACCGGCGAGGACCUCUCUGCUGAGCCUAGGUCGGGCUGCGACGUGUUGAUCUUCCGAGGGCGGGCAUUGACCCCAGAAAGGUGUGUCCAGCCAGAGUGAUCGAGCGUGUUGGGUAACGUGGUGCACCCCUGCAGGGAAGUUAUAUAUUCGAAUACCGUGUCCACUGUAAUGGACGUUCAGACUUAUAUCCUGAUCUUAUACAACCACAAAUGGAUACUUGAGAUAUGUGGCUUCGGGAUUGCUUUCUCGCAGGGAGUCGAGGAAGGAUCUCUAGGCAUUAAUGUACAACAUGCCUGUUAAUUAUAAACUGCUAUUCUUUACUCUACUACAUGCCGUGAGAUGCUCGAAGCUGCGUGAAGAUGCUAGUCUUCGAUAGGCUAGGCUUUCCCCCUCUAUUCUGGCAUUCUGCAGUUCGGUCCACAGAUACAACCCUUCCAUUUGAUACAAAUGCAUACUUAGUAUAGAUUUGAUGCUUGCGAGUACUUUGGAUGAGUACUCACGGUUGCUUUGCUACCCCUUUUCCCCCUUCUUUCUUCUUUCCGGUUGAUGCAACCAGAUGGUGGAUCCUUGGAGCCAGAUACCACCGCCGACGGAUACUACUACAUGGAGGCCGCCGAAGACCAGGAGUAGUUAGGAGGUCCCAGGCAGGAGGCCUUGCCUUUUCGAUCGUGUUGCUUUUGUGCUAGCCUUCUUAAGGCAAAACUUGUUUAACUUAUGUCUGUACUUAGAUAUUGUUGCUUCCGCUGACUCUUGUGUAUCGAGCUUGUAUUCGAGCCCUCGAGGC
rnacentral:lncRNA from 1 species